rnacentral:rRNA from 1 species
GAUCAAGCUACAAAGGGCUUACGGAGGAUGCCUUGGUACAUGGCGCCGAAGAAGGACGUGACAAGCUGCGAAAAGCUACGGGGAGGAGCAAAUAUCUAAAGAUCCGUAGAUAUCCGAAUGAGGGAACUCAGCACGAGUAAUAUCGUGUUAUUGCAUACUGAAUAGAUAGGUAUGCAAGGGGAACCCGGGGAACUGAAACAUCUAAGUACCCGGAGGAAAAGAAAACAACAGUGAUUCCGAGAG